CGUAACAAGGUUUCCGUAGGUGAACCUGCGGAAGGAUCAUCGUCGA
rnacentral:rRNA from 1 species